GCCCAACGUAGCAUGCCGGUAGUCCUAGCUGCUUGGGAGGCUGAGGUGUGAGGACCACUUGAACAUCUGGGCUGGCGUGCCCUAUGCCAAUUGGUUGUCUGCACUAAGUUUGGCAUCAGUUAGUGACUUCCUGGGAGAAGGGAGCCAGUAGGUUGCUUAAGGAGGGGUGAACGCAGGUCAGAAACAGAGCAGGUCAAACUCCAGUGGUGACCACCAGUGGGAUGGCACCUGUGAAUAGCCACUGCACUCCAGCCUGGGCAAUGGGGCGAGACCCUGUCUCU
rnacentral:SRP_RNA from 1 species